GUUUUCAAAUUAUAACCCAUCUUUAAUUUAAUAUCUAAUAACUCUGCUUAAAAAAUUACAGUAGGUAGGUAUGUAUAAAAACAAAAUAACAUAAAAUUUGUGAUUGAGAAUUUUUAGAAAGAACAAAAUUUUACUUUUGCAAUAAAUUCAAUCAGACCCUCAAGAUUUUAGGUUAUAUUUUUAGUUUCCUGGUAAUCAGAAACCAUGAAAUAUACGAAAAUCAAAGUUUAUCUGCCAGAUAACUUCUUAUUCGGUACUUUAUUCAGCAGUUAAAUAUUUGAUAUUUAACGUCAAUUUAUCUGCCGGAUAACUUUAUUCCAGAGUGAAAAGACGCUACUUUUUUUAUCUGUCAGAUAAACUUCCCGUUAACUAUUUAUCCGGAGGUGAAAAGACCGGGCCUAAGUGUACGAAAUUCUAUGGACAUUUGAGUGUAAAAUGACAGCGGAUGUGACAGCGGCUCAUGACAGCGGACAGUAUUAAACGAAAAUUAUCGGUGUGCCAAUCAAGCAAAGGGACAAGGAACUUCCGAAUAUGGCCUAACUGGGGGCACAUAACAUAGGGAGAGAUUAAAUAUCCAGCACGCAACCGCGCUGUUGCCAGAUUUACAUAUUUUCUAUUAGCGGGAAUUUUAAAAUCUCGAAUGCGAGUUGGUUUAAAAUUUGACAGUUGUGUUUUCUCGAAUCGGAAUCUUAACCUUACUUUUGUGAUUAUUUAUUUACAAAUAUGUAAAUAAAUUCAAACAAGUAUUGUAUGUACCUACUGUGUUAUAAUUUAAAACUCUUAAUUAUGUUAGUCUUUAAAAAAAAUGAAGCCCACAAAAAUACACUUGUUUACAGUGCAAAUGAUUUUUUAAUGGAAAUAGGGAUUUAGGAUUUCAUUUGCAGGAAAAACAUGGGCAACCUACCCAGUUCGUAAAAUUGCAAUUCAAAAACUCUUUAGAUUUUACUGUCUGGAUGGCACAGGAAGAGACACAAAAUAAUAUUCAGUACUGCAGUCACAGGAGUACAUAGAGUACGUAGAGAUAUAAGAAAACAGCUGUUCAACAUCACCUGACACCGUUUAGUUUUUAGAAAAUGAAAAGUCUUUAGGUUGAAUGCGAUCUGCAGUAUCUUGCAUUGCUACAUAAUGAAUGUGUUUAUAUAUGGUAUUUUUUAUUGAAUAAUCUAUACAGGAACAACUAAAUGAAUGUAUACAUAUAUUGCAGACAUUGCAUUUAGUUUUUUAGAGCAGCAAGUUUUUUUGUGUUUCAACAAGGUAUUCAGUUUUUUUUUUCUUUUAGUAUAUACACAUUAUUAUCUUGUAAAAUAGCAAGCUAAUACAGUUCGGUAUCUAGACGUUAUGGAGCAUUCAACAGGUUUACCUUUUUUAAGCUUUAUAACCCUUUCAACAGUUUUAUUCCUUAAAAACAAUAACAACUGAUUUUCAAUGGUCAUAUUAUUGGUAUUUUAAUUCCAUAAUCCUUCCUAUAACAAUAGGUGCAUUGUUGGAAGUUAUUACAGUAGUUCUGCUGGAAAUACUUACCAAAAUUGUAUGUAUCUGCAUCAUUUAGAAUUUUACCCAAACACCUAUUAAUACUCUAUCUGAAUCUAACAUGUAUUGCAGCUCUUUCAAUGUCUUGUAUACAUAGGAUUUUUUCAGAAUCAGAUAUUUCAUUAAGAUUUACUUGCCAUGCCUUGUCUAUGUACCAGGGACAUAACAGUCUAUUAGGAACAGAACCCAUUACAUUCAGGCAUUGUAAAAAGUGUUAGUUAUGUCUGAUAUGAAAACAUUUGACUAUAUAAUACCAGCACACUCAUGUAUUUUUUCAAAAAAAGUUGGUAAAUAAAAGUAUUUUUUAUGAGCCCAUGAGUUCCAUUAGUUGCGAUAAGCGAUUUACCAAACUUAAUUAAUAUUUCCUUUUGCACAGUAUUCAUGGAAACACAUAAGACAAAAAUCAUUAUUGUUUAAUUCGGGAGGAUUAUCAAUAAUUGAAUCGUUUAUUUCAGAAAGGGGUCAAGUCACAAGUAUCCACUUUUGAGAAAAUAAAGUUUACACACUGUUUACAUUCAACAAACAAUCACAUUAUAUAAAAUAAAAAUUCUACCUAGCAACCUGGAGUAUUUGUUAAAAAAUGUUGUAUUUUUUAAAAAUGUAUCUUGUUAAAUUGUUUAAGAAAAAAAAUUAAUUUUUUGCACUCAUUUUGUCAAGAUUUGUCACUUGACCUCUUUCUGAAAUAAACGAUUCAAUUAGUAUGCCCUGUUGUUUGUAAAAUAAUAUUGGACAUAACCCGGUCUGUAAGCAUUCACUUACCCACAAAUGAACACUGGUUGCGUUAUCUUUGUGCCUACAUCCAUCUUUCAAAUCAACGUCAUAGGAGUGUUUAAUGUUCGUGUUAUCUUUUCUUGUAAGUAAAUCAACUCUCAAUAAUAUUUAAAAAAUGGAUUAGUGGUAACAUUUUUAUUUUAAAUUAUAUUGUGUAUAUGUAAAUAUUUUACUUACAUUUUUGAAUAUGCCCAUAAUGUGUUUUAAAAUAUGUUACUUUUAUGUAUUGUAAUAUUCCUGCACAACAAUCAGUUUAAAUAUUUUUAGAUAUUAGUAUUUGAUUAGUACACGAAAUGCAGAGAUGUUCUCUCUUCUAUCUUAAGAGCUGAUUUAAUCUCUACUUGUAUCUGUAAAGUUUAUCAUUUUUCCCAUAGACAAUUUCAACACUUCCGGUUCCUCAGCGUCUAUAUCCAAACCUGUUACGAUGACAUAAUCAUAUUUCUCUUCUCUUUCUCUAGGUAAUCUAGUCUAGUAAUUAAUUCUCGAACUGUCUUGUUUGUAUUAAAUAUCUUAAUUAUGUACUUAUUUUAUUUUUAUAAUGAAAAUUAAUAAAUCAACCAUAUGCGGCACAGGAUACAAAUGUUUUCGGAAAUAUAUCUAUAAAAAUUUAAUUACCUCUUUUGUAUACGACAUAUCGAUACAUUUUUGGCAAAGUAGCGUAAGUGACAUUUUUGAAAAUCAUGUUUUUCCCAUUAAACUAACGCUAUUAUUGUUCAGAAGGUACUGCCAAAGUGUAGUAAGCCUAUACAUAUAUAUUAUGUUUAAAGUAAUUCUAGGCUUACUACACUUUGGUAGUAACUUCUAAACAAUAAUAGUGUUAGUUUAAUGGAAAAACAUGUUUUUCCCCAAAAAUGUCACUUACGUUACUUUGCCAAAAAUAUAUCGAUAUAAUAUAAUAAGUAAAAACUAUUUUUAUAGCUAGGAAUUACUUUAUUGAACAGUCUUAACCUUCGGAUGACCAAGCGGGGGAAAUUGUGACCCCAGCUUAUGUUUUUCUUUAAUAAAUUCAAAAGUAUUUUCAAUUUUUAACUCAUUAUUUUUUUAUUUGACUUUAAUAUCAUUCUAGAUAUCCUCAUAUUUUGAAAUAAAAAGAAUUCCCUAUAUUUUACGAAUAAAAAAUAUAUUCUGAAGUUGAUGUUUAGUAAAAUAGCGUCUAUUAUGUGUAAUUCCAAGUAGUGUUACGCUAAUGACGUCGACUUUGCAAAGUAACAAGGCACUUACUCAACAUACACACUACACAUGACACUAAUACUCAUGUUGUGACUGGCUGAAUGACAUAAAGUCCAUGCCAUAAAAAAAAUUUAAAAAAAAUAAAAAAAAAACUUCAUUUUUUUGUUAAAUGUUAUUUUUGACCAUUUCCCCCCCCCCCCCUUGGUCAUCCGUGUAACAAAAAAAAGGUUGGUCAUCGGAAGGUUAAACCUGUUCAUAAAUUUUGUUACUAUAUUUUUUAACUCCGAUUAUAACAAUAAUAACUUUUUAGUUUAGAUUUAGGUCAAAGUGUGUAAUGUCAUGUUUUAUGUAUAGUAUUUUUACUACAAAAGCGAUAUUACGUAGGUCAAAAUUUUUGACGUAAGAGAACUGUCAAAACAUUAGAAUGUGACUUUUCAUUAUUGUCAUUUUAUUAUAAACAUGGCAAUAAUGAAAAGUCACAAUCUGAUGUUUUGACAGUUAUCUUACGUCAAAAAUUUUAACCUACGUAAUAUCGCUUUUGUAGUAAAAAUACUAUAUUUUUUAGCCCUAACACAUUUGUAGGUAGCAAAUCAUAUUUGUUAUUCUUAUCUUAUUUUAAUUAUAUUCAUUUUUUUGAUUUAACGAAAUAAACCUAUCAAUAAAAAAACUGUUGUUUAGUUGUGUACACCCAAAAACUAACUUGAUGUAAUACAGAUGUCAAUUGAAUAUGACGUAAAUACAUGUCAUAAAGAUGUCUUACGUCACAAAAUUACCACAAUAAAACGUUGCCACUAAUUGCUCAAUUUAAUGUCAUUCAAGUUAGAUGUGAUGAAUAGGGCUUUUUAUUCACAGUCAUUUGUUUUGAGCUUCUGUCAUGUGUCACAUAAUAUUAAUAUAUAUACGUCAUACGUUAUUGGUAAUACCAAUGAUACAAAUCAAAGACGUAUGGCGUAAAUAUAUUAAUAUUGUAUGACACAUGACAGGAGCUCGAAACAAAUGACAAUCGAUGAAAAGCCCUAUUGAUGGCAAAUUGGUCAUUAAACCUGACAUCAUAUUUUGGUCAUGUUUAGGUCUCCUACCAAUUAAGACUAAAAAAACAUGUCAUUUAGACUUCACUCUGUUGGCUGGUCAGUUAAAGGAUUUGAAAUAUAUGGAUUACUGAAUUUUAAAGAAAGCUGCAUUAAAUAUAAUGAAAAAAGACAACCUAUGACAAUAAAACAUUAAUUGUUAGUCUUUGUUCUGCUCAUACUUAACAUAAUCGUCCUAUUUGAAGUCCACAUACUGUGUAAUAAAACUUAAAGCCACUUUGUGGGCGUUUUUGACAUUUUCAUAAUUGUCUUUAAUAGUAAAAUGUAUGUGUAACACAAUAGAUGUAAAAUUAUUAUUAUUAACACAUUUACGGACACGCUUUGCCUGUAGCCACGUCUUCUUAUGGAGCAAAUGACUUCAUAUGCAGUCGUGUCUGUGAAUGUGUUAAAUAAUUAACAGAAAAAAUUAUUUUAAUUGCUUUAGCUUUCAAUAUAAACCACAAUAAUACCACCAUUAAUUUUUAAGUAUAUUAUGUAAGAAAAUAGAAUUUACCUAAUAACUCACCUCGCCGCCAGGUAAAGUAAAGGUGCUACGUCACUGAAAUGUUUUUUCAUUUUGAUUUAUUUUGUUGCUUUAGUUAGCAGAUACAUGAUGGGAAUUAUUCAUACAAUACAUAUUAAUACUAUUAAAACUAAUACAUAUUAAUACUAUUAAAACUAAUACAUAUUAAUAUUCUAAAUAAUUAUUUAAUACUAAAAUAAAGAAAAAUGUCUAUCUAUACUACAUUAAUUGAGACAUUUUCACUUUUCUUUUCGCAGGAUCCUCGGGAUUUUAAAGCUGUGUCUCUAUCUUUAUCUUGUUUUGUACAAUAAUUAUUGUUUGAGAAUGGCAUACAUACAUAAUAAGAUGCUUCAUGUUUUUGUACUCCUGUGACUGCAGUACUGAAUAUUAUUUUGUUUCUCUUCCUGUGCCAUCCACACAGUAAAAUCUACAAAAACAACAGAUGAUUACAUGGGAAGUUAUACCAGUCUAUAUUCCUUGGUUAUACCACAGUAUAGGAGGAAUUCCUCCUAGGCUGUGGUUAUACUACUUAUAGCUUACUUUUAUCUAAUAUCUACCUACAUAAAACUACCUUUGAUAUCAACAUCAACCUUAAUACUUAAAAAAUAAAUAAUAAUGUGGAAGUUAUUCCAUACCUACCUAAAGAGUUUUUGAAUUGAAAUUUUACCAACUGGGUAGGUUGCCCAUGUUUUUCCUGCAAAUGAAAUCGUAAAUCCCUAUUGCCAUUAAUUUGCACUGUAAACAAGUAUAUCUCUUUUGGGCUUAAUCUUUUUAGGACUAACAUAAUUAAGCGUUUUAAAUUAUAACACAGUACAUACAAUACUUGUUUUAAUUUAUUUACAUUUGUAAAUAAAUAAUCACAAAAGUAAGGUUAAGAUUCGGAUGUCAAAUUUUAAACCAAUUCGCAUUAGAAAUUUUAAAAUUCCCGCUAUGUAAAUCUGGCAACAGCGCGGUUGCGUGCUGGAUAUUUAAUCUCUCCCCAUAACAUAACAUAACCUAAUCCUAAUAUUUACAUUUGUAAAGAAUAUCCUGUUUGUUUUUAUUGUCGAUUGUGCAGCGAAAUUGUGUGCAGCAAAUCAAAUAUAAAGUAGUUUAUCGCCUACAGAACUGAAUUAGUCCAUAGCAGUUAUCAGUUUUUCUUUCUUGGGAAGCUUAUACAUGUAACUUGUAUUGUUGUAAAUUGUGGGAGUAGGGCAGACAGGGAAAAGUCUUAUUUUGUACUGUUCCCAAGGCUCCCCAUGCAAUACAUUUAAAUGAAUUAUCCAAACAAAGCCGGGGACAAUGGAUAAAAGCCACAAGAAGAACAGAUAUAAGGGAACUAAAAUUAAAAUAUGAAAAGUAAACAUUUUAUAAGUGGAACAACCACCAGAUAUUUAAAAGGUAUAAAAAGAAGAAACUGCUGGAAUUUCAAAACAAAUGUGUUUGACUAGUAAAGAUUUGGAUAAAUAACAGGAGUUAUUUCAUGUUAAUUCUUAUUAAUUAUACACUUAAAUAUGUUUUUAGUCUCAGGAAGAUUUUAUAUUUGAUUAUUUUUGAAUAAACAUUAUUAUUAUUAUUACCUUAAUUUCCAUUAAAUAAAUUAACUGUAAUCAAUAAAGUAAUCGUUUAAUUGUUAAUAAAUUAUCAAGUAUGA